rnacentral:rRNA from 1 species
UACGGAGGGAGCAAGCGUUACUCGGAAUUAUUGGGCGUAAAGGGCGCGUAGGCGAUUUGAAAAGUCUUGUGUGAAAGCCCCGAGCUUAACUCGGGAAGUGCACAAGAAACUGUUGAAUUUGAGUUCCGGAGAGGAAGGCAGAAUUCCCGGUGUAGCGGUGAAAUGCGUAGAUAUCGGGAGGAAUACCAGUGGCGAAGGCGGCCUUCUGGACGGAUACUGACGCUGAGGCGCGAAAAGCCAGGGGAGCAAACGGGG